rnacentral:rRNA from 1 species
UUUUAAAUAAGAUAUUAAUAUUAAUAUUAGUUAUUGAAAAUAUUAUUUUUAUUGUUUAUAAUGUUACUAUUUUUUAUUUUAUUUAUUUUUUAAAAAUUUUUUAUUUUUUAAAUUUUUAUUUUUUUAAAAAGUUUUUAUUUUUUUAAAAAGUUUUUUAUUUUUUUAAAAAGUUUUUAUUUUUUUAAAAUUUUUUAUUUUUUAAAGUUUUUAUUUUUAAAAAUUUUUAUUUUUUAUUUAAGUUUUUUUAUUAAAAUUAUUUAAUUUAAGAGAAAAUAUUAAAAAUUAAUUAUUAUGCUUAUUUAUUCAUAUAUGUUAUUAUAUAAUUUUUUAAAUUAGUAUAAAAAAUUAAGUUAAUUUAAUAAAAAUUAUUAAAUUUUAAAAAAUAAAUUAAUAAAUAUUGGUUUUAUAAAUAUUUAUAAAUCAAUAUAUAAUUAUAUAUAUAUAUUUAUUAAUAUAAAAUUAAUAUUUAUAUAUAUAUAAUUAUUUAUAAAUUAAUAUAUAAUUAGAGAAUAAAAUAAUAUAUAUAUAUUUAUAUAAUUAUAAAUAUAUAUAUAAUAUUAUAUAUAUAUAUAUAUAUAUUUUAUUUUAAAUAAAUAAAAUAUAACAAAAAAAAAAAAAAAACUCAUUUUAUUAUUUAUUAUUAAUAUUUAAAUUAAUUAAUAAAAAAAAAAUAUUUAUAAUAUAAAAUAGUUAAUUUUAUAUUUAAAAUUUUAUACUAAAUAAUAAAAUUAUAUAUUAAAUACUAUGAAUAAAUAAAAAUUAUAAUAUAUAUAUAUAUAUAUAUAUAUAUAUUAAAAAUUUUUUUAUAUUAUUUAUUAUA